UGUCGACGUCGACGUGGAGCGGGGGCUCCACUGGUCGGGAGGACGAAAAGCACAGGAGGAAGACGGGCUCGUGAGAGAACGCGUACUUCACGGAACACGCCUUCAACGCAGGGAAGCGCAAAGCGAGCGGCGCGCGGGGGAGUUGGGCCGCAACCUGCGCCGCGGGGCUGCGCGGCUGGCGCAUGCGAAGCUGGGCCGGCACGGUCGAAAGGUAAGCAGGUAGGUUUUUAUUUUAUUUUCCCUUUUCCUUUUUUCUGUUUUCUAUUUUGCAAAUAGUUUUUGGAUUCAAAUUUCAAAUACCAUCUUGAAAAGGUGAGAAGUAGGAGAAAUCAAAUAUGGCACUACUAUUUGUAAAUAUUCAAAUGGUGUUAAAAGUUUUAAAACAAAACUCAAAGAAGGAAGAUUCAUAUUUGAAUCUUCAAGCAAAUUCAAACAACAAGAUUUCAAACCACAACUUAAAAUGCGCGAGACAGCGCUGGGGAAGGGAGGAGGUACGGCGUCGCUUAAGUAGGGGCACGGAGCUAUCCCUGUCGCUGUCGACAUCGACGUGGCGCGGGGGCUCCACCGGUCGGGAGAACGAAAAGCAGAGGAGGAAGACGGGCUCGUGAGAGCGUACUUCACGGAAUACGCCUUCAACGCGGGGAAGCGCAAAGCGGGCGGCACGUGGUGGAGUUGGGCCGUGGCCUCGUUGCUGAGCUGUGCGGCUGGCGCGCGCGAAGCUGGGCCGACUCGGCCGAAAGGUAAGCAGGUAGGUUUUUCUUUUCUUUUUCCUUUUCCCUUUUUCUGUUUUCUAUUUUGCAAAUAGUUUUUGGAUUCAAAUUUCAAAUACCAUUUUGAAAAGCUGAGAAGUAGGAGAAAUCAAAUAUGGCACUAAUAUUUGUAAAUAUUCAAAUGGGGUUAAAGGUUUUAAAACAAAACCCAUUUGAAUGACAUUGGUAAAAUAGAGGA
rnacentral:lncRNA from 1 species